rnacentral:lncRNA from 1 species
GUAAUCUCAGCACCAGGGAGGCAGAGGCAGGCAAUCUGUGUUGAGUUGGAGGACAGCCUAGUCCAGAAAGCAAAUUCCAGGACAGCCGGGCUGCCUUGAGAAAGAAGCCCUGUCUCAAAAAACCAGAGGGGAAAAAAGAACGAAGGCUUCUAUGAGAAAUGGACUAAGAGCUGGGACACGAGGCAAAGACAGGCUUUUGCUCUCAAUAGAGUGAGUGUACAGUGCAGCCAGCAGCUCCUGUGCACAGAAGAAAGCAGGACCUUCUCACCGUGCUGCCUCGUGUUUUGUCACCAGCUACUGCUGACCAAAUAGCAGGUGUUUGCCUGAGGUGACUGUUGUUGGACCAGUGUCACCUGGAAGUGAUUUCCUAGCUAAGACAACAUGAAUGAACAGAUGAAGAAAAUGGCAAAGACAAGUGGCCAGAAAGGGCCGGGCAGAAGGGCCCUCGACAGAAUGACUCUAAAUCAUGACGAGGCAAGGCCAGUUCAGAAUACCAGAGUGGAACCUCCCCAUGUAACAUACACCAUCCACGAAGAAGGUGAGAUUAGCCCUGAGAAUGAGGAAGAUGUCUUUCCUAAUGGAUACCUAGAAUGCAUCAUAAGAGGGGAGUUUUCUGAGCCCAUUUUGGAAGAGGAUUUACUUUUUAAAUCCUUCGAAAGCCUAGAGGAAGCGGAACAAGACCUUUCUUGCCAGGUUCUGGAAGCUAGUUCUCUUCUCGAGU